rnacentral:tRNA from 1 species
UCCCUGGUGGUCUAGUGGCUAAGCCUGCACUCCCAAGGCAGCAGCCCAGGUUCAAUCCCUGGUCAGGGAA